rnacentral:tRNA from 1 species
CGCGGGGUAGAGCAGUGGUAGCUCGUCGGGCUCAUAACCCGGAGGUCGUUGGUUCAAAUCCUUCCCCCGCUACCA